AUCACCCACAUGGACUUUGAUAAGCCAAUUCAGGACUGGAUUCUACACAAGAGAGUGGGUUUUUGCAGUUUUCUCAUCAAUUACUGCUAAGCUCUGCCUGAGGACAUUGAUAUUCUUGUUGUAUUAAAUUCUGAUGAACAGUUCAACACCAGUGUGAGCCACUGCAGCUUUCAAGACUCUGUUCCGAACUUUUGCGACAACACAGGUGACUGUCAACUUUAUCGGAAUCUUGUUUGCCAACAUUCAGUCUUAAUACUUCAAUAACAAAUCUGUAGAUGUUUAAUGGACCUUCUUGCAAGAUUUGUUAUAAGGUUACAAGUGCAAAAUUUAAGUAGCAUAUACAGAGUUGGGGAAAGAGAGCAAAUAAUUACCUGACAUCAUGUCCUGUAGGGUGGGGAGAAUUUAGAAAAUUAAAAAUUUACCAGACA